GGCGCGGUGGCCGAGGAGUUAGGCAACGGUCUGCAAAACCGUUUACACGAGUGCGAAUCUCGUCCGUGCCUCCA
rnacentral:tRNA from 1 species